rnacentral:tRNA from 2 species
GCGGGAAUAGCUCAGUGGUAGAGCACGACCUUGCCAAGGUCGGGGUCGCGAGUUCGAAUCUCGUUUCCCGCU